CGUACGCUGGAAACCAAACGUCUUUCUUCUUCCUCCAACGCUUGGAGACCUUUCACGCAGACCAAACGACGUGAAGAAGAAGACUCAUCAUCGUCAGUUGAAGAAGAAGACCCACCAUGAAAACUCCUGACCCGAAAAAAUAAAACCAAGCGAUCCGAAAAAAUAAAACACGAUGGCUGAGUUUGUGGAGUGCACGAAGAAGAUGAAGAGCCCUCCCUUCCAAGACGAAGGAAGAGCUGCCAUCGCGAGUUGAGCUUGCAAGAAUUCUAUGCCAAUCAGGUUUUUAAUGGAGUAAUCUUGUUCGUUUAUGUCAGUCUCGAAGUUGGACCAUCUGCUGUACUUUGGAUUUAACAUCUUUGAUGGUGUUUGUUUUGCUGUCAUGGAACUUCUCAUCCAAGUGAUCAUGUUUGUAGUACUUUUUGGGUUUGAUAUAAACUUUUAUGCUUAGAUGAUGGUUCUUGGGGCCAACUUGUACAAUUUAUUGAAGUUAAUUAUCAAUUUAAGGACCACCUGCUCUCAAGCAAUUCUAUGUGAAAAGGCUAUUUGAACACAAGGCCAACCUCUUUAUCUCAAAGCUUGUUCCAUUUGAUAUAUGACGGUUUAUAUCA